rnacentral:rRNA from 1 species
AUGGCGUUCGCCGCGGCUGCGCGGAGAAGCCUCGCCUCGCCUAGAAUCUCCGAUUGCCUCUCCCGCCGCUUCCAUCCGGCGCUCCCUCAACUGCUCCCAUCCAACUCCAUCGGCGAUCCCCGGAAGCCCUCGCCCCUUCCUCUCCCACCCGCACCGCGUCCGUUGCGUUUCUCGUUCUCCCCUUGCGGGACAGCUCAAACCCUAGACCUCCUCCCAUUCGGCAUCCACCUCCUCGCCGGGCCACCCCGCCGCGGGUUCUCCUCCUCCUCCCGCGACAUUGACUUCGCCGACGUCCUCACCGGCGCCGCCAAUGCCUGGCCGCCCGUGGCUGCCCCGGCGAGCUUCCCCGGCGAGGUGGCGUUGGCCGCGGGGGACUCGUCGAUUGCCGUCGCGGCGGUGCAGCAUCUCAUCGACGCGGUCCAUUCCUUCACUGGUGGAUUUCCAUUGCUCUACCCACAGUGCUCUUACGGUCUGUGUCGUGCCCAUUGUGGAUGCUUGCCAGGAAACGAGUAUAUGAGGUGUCAGGAGAUGCAACAAACCAGCAAGUUGGUAAAUAAUGCUAAGGACGAUGCAUCAAGAGAAGAAGCUGAGCGUGCAGCAUGGUCUUCACUCAAAAAGUUAGGUCUUGCGUCAUAUCUUCCACUAAUUGUGACACCGUAUACCUUGAUAACUCUUCACAUCGCUGUAUCAAACAUGGUUGACAAUGUCCCAUCUUUAAAAGGGGGUGGAGCAUUCUGGUUUACUGAUCUGACAACCCCUGAUGCUCUUUGCAUCUUUCCCAUGAUAACAUCACUGUUCAUCAUGCUUACCUCAGAGCUCAAGUACAGUGCUUCAAAGAAAUGCGAAAAAUGCUCUCGCACGAUGCACAAAGAAGCAAGGGAAGCUCUGAGAGUAAUAUCUCUUCUAUCUAUGUUGUUGACAGCAACCCUUCCUCAGGCGAUUUCUUGUUCCUUGGUCACCUGGAGUUCUCUAAGUCUUGCAGAAAGGAUAGCUCUCGAACAGCCAGCUGUGCAGAAAGUACUAUAUGGCACGCCCUUGAAACAAAGAAGAUGUUCUUGUGAUGGACAGAAGGGCCCAACUGCUGAAGAUACCCCUUCUGUCAAGGAGCAGGAAGAGCCAGUUUCCCCAGAGACAAAGAAAUCUUGUGAUGGUAGCACUCACAGAGACGAGACCGAUAAGAAAUCGACCAAAGGCGGUUAA